UAGCCUUUAAAAGGACAUAAUAUUAAUCCCUUCAUAUUGAAACUACAUAGCCUAAAAUUGGGCCACGCAUGAAAUAAUGACUACAAUGUAAGAUUAAAAUUCCUACAUGUAAAUUAAGCAUUUAACUUACCCUACAAACAAGACCUGAAGAUAGACUGCAUUCAGCAUUCAAUUAACAGAUGAGCUAUGGCUGUCUGCUGUCUGCUGUCCCCUAGUGACUACAUUAAGUAAUGACGCUCUCCGAGGGGAAGAGGCGUCAAAUCGAUUACCCAAACCUAUAUUGUUACAAUUGUUUGACUCAUUGUUUAGUUUAGACUACCUUGGUUUGAAGAAACUCUCUAAAUUAUUUCAGAGAGUGGGUUAUUUGCAUAUAAGAUUGAUCUGUCUAAAGGUGGGAAAACGUGGAGGGUGGAAAUGAGACGGCAUAGGCUACAUUUCUGGCUACUGACGAAAAUGUGUCAAGAAAGCUACAAGACAAAAAACACCGCUUUGGUGCCAGAGGCAACUCCCUUUGCAUCCGAAACCCGAGGGCGCAGUAAGAGCAACAUAAACCCUUCCACGUCAAAGUCUAACGUGUAACGAUUUACUCGACAUAAUGAGACGAUCUAAAAUUGGCAAAAUAAAAUGAAAAAAAAAAAUCA
rnacentral:lncRNA from 1 species